CGGGGAUGGAGAGUAGGAGUCAGGGUGUGUGAAUCAUGAUGGCCAUUCAGACGAGGUGUGCUCUGUGACAAUUGCUUGUAGAGCAUGGUGCAUCUCAUGGCUGCAUGAGAAGAAAGGGGCGCUACCUCUGACAUCCCUCAACAAUCCUGCACGAUCCCAAAGCAUGCUUCCUGGCACCACACGUUGAAUCCUGCCUCUCCACAGGCAGUAAGCCCCUUGCUCUGCAGGGAGAACUGGACACCUCUCCUGAUUACCCUCUGGAGUGCCACCUGCGGACCCUGGGGAUGGUCAGCCUGCAGUGACAGCCCUGGGAGCACACAGGAUGGGAUCUUCUUGGCUGUUGGGGUACCCCUGCUGGCACCAUGCCAUUGCACUCCCUGCUGUUCCUGGAGAUGAGCCAUAGGCCAUGAAACCUUACGCUGGUCUCAGCCACUUGGCAUCCUUCUGAAUGGUGAAGCUAAUGUGGAACACAGCCUAAGCACUUGGACAUACAGUGUCU
rnacentral:lncRNA from 1 species